GACAGUUCCGGUGGCCAAGUGGUUAGAGCGUCCUGUUCGGAUGCGGGAGGUCUCGGGUUCGAACCCCGGCUGAGUCA